GUCCCUGUAGCGCAAUGGAUAGCGCGUUGGACGUCUAAUCCAGAGGGCGUAGGUUCCAAUCCAACCUGAGAUG